rnacentral:tRNA from 1 species
GUUCUGGGACAUAGCUCAAAUGGUAGAGUAGCCGACAUGUCUUUGGAAGGUUCUGGGUUCGAAUCCCAGUCCGAGCU